GCACCGGAGAGGCUACCACAAAAAGCUUUUAUAAAUAUUUGAAGAAUGUUUCAUAGCGGCCAGUACGAGUACUUUUGACUCGUUUCUUCCUUAUAUCGCCUGACCGGAUCCGUGAUUUCGGACUGACGGUUGAGCAGAAGUAUGAUGCGACCUGCAGCCUUAAUUCCUUUCUGAAAGUUUGGGGCAAAUGCAAACGCUUGGGCUGCUGCCGACGAACCCAUCAGAAGAGCUUGCGCGGAUCUGAAGAUCCAGCUUUUCCUGAUGCAACAGCUUCUUUUUUGGCCAGUUUCGCAGCCACCUGUUGUUUGAACAAUUGAGACGAAUAAAUUAGUACACCGCAGUGACAAUGCGAUGUGAGCAAAAUUUUUUGAGUCUUACCC